UGGGGAAUUUUGGACAAUGGGCGAAAGCCUGAUCCAGCAAUGCCGCGUGUGUGAAGAAGGCCUUCGGGUUGUAAAGCACUUUUGUCCGGAAAGAAAUGGCUCUGGUUAAUACCUGGGGUCGAUGACGGUACCGGAAGAAUAAGGACCGGCUAACUACGUGCCAGCAGCCGCGGUAAUACGUAGGGUCCAAGCGUUAAUCGGAAUUACUGGGCGUAAAGCGUGCGCAGGCGGUUGUGCAAGACCGAUGUGAAAUCCCCGAGCUUAACUUGGGAAUUGCAUUGGUGACUGCACGGCUAGAGUGUGUCAGAGGGGGGUUAGAAUUCCACGUGUAGCAGUGAAAUGCGUAGAGAUGUGGAGGAAUACCGAUGGCGAAGGCACCCCCGCUGGGAUAACACUGACGCUCAUGCACGAAAGCGUGGGGAGCAAACAGGAUUAGAUACCCUGGUAGUCCACGCCCUAAACGAUGUCAACUAGUUGUUGGGGAUUCAUUUCCUUAGUAACGUAGCUAACGCGUGAAGUUGGACCGCCUGGGGAGUACGGUCGCAAGAUUAAAAGCUC
rnacentral:rRNA from 1 species